rnacentral:rRNA from 1 species
UUAAAUGUAAGAGUUUGAUUAUGGCGCAGAUGGAACGCUGGCGUCAGGCCUAACACAUGCAAGUCGAACGGUAACAGGAAGAAGCUUGCUUCUUUGCUGACGAGUGGCGGACGGGUGAGUAAUGUCUGGGAAACGGCCUGAUGGAGGGGGAUAACUACUGGAAACGGUAGCUAAUAC